GAAUAUUCACAUUCAACAAAUUGAUUUAAUUAAUCGACAAAAAAUAUCAAUCAUAAUUUAACUAGUACGUUUAAGUACAUUACACAUACCGUUUCGAUCGUAAGCAAGUCAACAUUUCUUCAUUAGCAUCGUUUAGAGGACAGUUGAGUCCAUGUGCCAUUUGCAUGGUCAAUUGUAGUGAAUUGUUUGAAGCUGCCCAAUCGGCCAUUGCUGAACCAGACAUCAAAAUUGCUCGAUGGAAGAGCCCUAUAUGGUGAAAAGGAUAAUGGUCAAUAUAAAUGGUAAUUGGAUAGUAACUUUCCACUCAUGUUCCAGCGCCAGCAAAAUACAUACCGGAUGCAACAGGCGAUACCAUCAGUGUAAUGCUGCAAUUUGGUCUAAUAGGCCAAAAUUACUUACGGUAUCGUCACUAAUGCCAGGUUUCAUGAACCCUUAAGUGAACGAAAAAUAAAUGGUGCGGUAAAUUGGAUUGUCAAUAAAUAAUUAUUAGAUUUUAAAAUAAAUAAAAGCCAUGCAUUAUUAAAUUUUUGGAUGCAUAAUUUUGGAAAAUAGAAUAUAACAAGGUCCUGGUUUUAGUAGAUACACAUAUAAGCAGACAUAUAAGUCAUGAAAUGAUUACAGAGAAAGCAGUUUGAUCUUUGAAAUUAGAGAAAGUCUACUACUUUUUUUCAGUUCAUUUAAA